rnacentral:rRNA from 1 species
UAGGGAAUCUUCGGCAAUGGGGGGAACCCUGACCGAGCAACGCCGCGUGAGUGAAGAAGGUUUUCGGAUCGUAAAGCUCUGUUGUUAAGGAAGAACGAGUGUGAGAAUGGAAAGUUCAUACUGUGACGGUACUUAACCAGAAAGGGACGGCUAAUUACGUGCCAGCAGCCGCGGUAAUACGUAGGUCCCGAGCGUUGUCCGGAUUUAUUGGGCGUAAAGCGAGCGCAGGCGGUUAGAAAAGUCUGAAGUGAAAGGCAGUGGCUCAACCAUUGUAGGCUUUGGAAACUGUUUAACUUGAGUGCAGAAGGGGAGAGUGGAAUUCCAUGUGUAGCGGUGAAAUGCGUAGAUAUAUGGAGGAACACCAGUGGCGAAAGCGGCUCUCUGGUCUGUAACUGACGCUGAGGCUCGAAAGCGUGGGGAGCGAACAGG